UAUAAUGAUUAAAACUAUUAAAUUUUUUAAAUUAAUUUUGUUUUUUGACUAUUUUAAAUUUCAGAUUUCCCAUGAUACAAAGGAUUCUGUGACAUCAUUGUCUGUAUCAGAGCAUCAAAUAUUCAACACAGUGUUUAGGGCGGAAAGAAAUGCAAUUAAAAACUGACAAAGCACAGUACAUUGAGACUGAUAUAAUAAACAAGACAGGUUGGAUUCCGGGAGAAGUUAAAACCUGAUUAUUAGAAAUGCUUUCAACCUGCAACUAAACCUGUUUUGUUUGUUCCAUCCAUCUUCCUACAUCAUGUUUUGUCAGCUAAAAGUCCUUUGAAAAUUUUCAAAUUCUGGCAUAUAAGUAACAGUCGAAGAAAAUUGUUGAGAUAGAGAGAACUUUUUAUCUUGGACAGGAAGAAACUGGACAAAACGGAAUAAAAUAAAAAUGACUAAUACAAUUGCUCAACAAUAGGUGUUAUAACUAAAACAAAUUAAAUUUAUAGUAACAGAAAGUUUAUCAUUAGGUUUGAGAAUUCAAUAUGGGCUUUUAAUUGUAUCUAUGUUCAGUAUGUGAUUUAUUGAUUUAGUAGUAUUAAUAAAAUUCAGUUAUGUUAUUUUGAUUGUUCUUUAAAUAUAAAAUUACAAUUUAAU